GACAGAGGGUGCAAGCGUUGUUCGGAAUCAUUGGGCGUAAAGCGCGCGUAGGCGGCUUGGCAAGUCGGAUGUGAAAGCCCAGGGCUUAACCUCGGAAGGGCAUCCGAAACUGCUUGGCUUGAGUCUCGGAGAGGGUGGUGGAAUUCCCAGUGUAGAGGUGAAAUUCGUAGAUAUUGGGAGGAACACCGGUGGCGAAGGCGGCCACCUGGACGAAGACUGACGCUGAGGUACGAAAGCAUGGGGAGCAAACAGG
rnacentral:misc_RNA from 1 species